UGAGGAAUAUUGGUCAAUGGGCGAGAGCCUGUACCAGCCAAGUCGCGUGAAGGAAGACAGUCCUAAGGAUUGUAAACUUCUUUUAUACGGGAAUAACGGGCGAUACGAGUAUUGCAUUGAAUGUACCGUAAGAAUAAGCAUCGGCUAACUCCGUGCCAGCAGCCGCGGUAAUACGGAGGAUGCGAGCGUUAUCCGGAUUUAUUGGGUUUAAAGGGUGCGUAGGUUGUUCGGUAAGUCAGCGGUGAAACCUGAGCGCUCAACGUUCAGCCUGCCGUUGAAACUGCCGGGCUUGAGUUCAGUGGCGGCAGGCGGAAUUCGUGGUGUAGCGGUGAAAUGCAUAGAUAUCACGAGGAACUCCGAUUGCGAAGGCAGCUUGCCAUACUGCGACUGACACUGAAGCACGAAGGCGUGGGUAUCAAACAGG
rnacentral:rRNA from 1 species